ACUAAACGCAUCUUCUGAUUGCAACUCAGGCACUUUAAUUUAAGCUAAAGCCUCCCAGACAAGUGGGCCUC
rnacentral:tRNA from 1 species